rnacentral:rRNA from 1 species
AUAACGACUCUCGGCAACGGAUAUCUCGGCUCUCGCAUCGAUGAAGAACGUAGCGAAAUGCGAUACUUGGUGUGAAUUGCAGAAUCCCGUGAACCAUCGAGUCUUUGAACGCAAGUUGCGCCCAAAGCCUUUUGGCCGAGGGCACGUCUGCCUGGG